GUGGUUCUGAAUGGAAGGGCCAUCGCUCAACGGAUAAAAGGUACUCCGGGGAUAACAGGCUGAUACCGCCCAAGAGUUCAUAUCGACGGCGGUGUUUGGCACCUCGAUGUCGGCUCAUCACAUCCUGGGGCUGAAGUAGGUCCCAAGGGUAUGGCUGUUCGCCAUUUAAAGUGGUACGCGAGCUGGGUUUAGAACGUCGUGAGACAGUUCGGUCCCUAUCUGCCGUGGGCGCUGGAGAAUUGAGGGGGGCUGCUCCUAGUACGAGAGGACCGGAGUGGACGCAUCACUGGUGUUCGGGUUGUCAUGCCAAUGGCACUGCCCGGUAGCUAAAUGCGGAAGAGAUAAGUGCUGAAAGCAUCUAAGCACGAAACUUGCCCCGAGAUGAGUUCUCCCUGAGACUUUAAGUCUCCUGAAGGAACGUUGAAGACGACGACGUUGAUAGGCCGGGUGUGUAAGCGCAGCGAUGCGUUGAGCUAACCGGUACUAAUGAACCGUGAGGCUUAACCUU
rnacentral:rRNA from 1 species